rnacentral:rRNA from 1 species
GACGAACGCUGGCGGCGUGCUUAACACAUGCAAGUCGAACGGAAAGGCCCUGCUUUUGUGGGGUGCUCGAGUGGCGAACGGGUGAGUAACACGUGAGUAACCUGCCCUUGACUUUGGGAUAACUUCAGGAAACUGGGGCUAAUACCGGAUAGGAGCUCCUGCUGCAUGGUGGGGGUUGGAAAGUUUCGGCGGUUGGGGAUGGACUCGCGGCUUAUCAGCUUGUUGGUGGGGUAGUGGCUUACCAAGGCUUUGACGGGUAGCCGGCCUGAGAGGGUGACCGGCCACAUUGGGACUGAGAUACGGCCCAGACUCCUACGGGAGGCAGGAGUGGGGAAUAUUGCACAAUGGGCGGAAGCCUGAUGCAGCAACGCCGCGUGCGGGAUGACGGCCUUCGGGUUGUAAACCGCUUUCGCCUGUGACGAAGCGUGAGGGACGGUAAUGGGUAAAGAAGCACCGGCGAACUACGU